UUCUCAAUUAGACAGAAAACUCUUACCUGCUAAUGAAAGACCCCCAGAGCGGGGAGUCCCUCACUCAAGUCUCGGGAUGACGCAACCCCUCAAGAACUCACACAAGACC
rnacentral:pre_miRNA from 14 species